UUCUAUCUCUUCUUCCGAGUUUUGGAUUACCAGACGGUGUUGACGGAGAGCCUUCCCCUACAUAUCCCAUAAGCAGGGAUUAUACCGCUGUACGCUUUUCAGACCAGAGCUGGCCAUAGCUCUCCUGAAUGUGAGUUCUCUACUUUUGUUACCUACCGCACCUCGAAUUUUACAUACUGCACCAUUGGUUGCCUCUACCUCUUUUGUAUUUUUAUAUACUGAACGGUCAACACCAGACGCACCUACCUCCACCAAGAAACCUUAUCCAGU